UAGGGAAUAUUGCACAAUGGGGGAAAGCCCAUGCAUGCAGCGACGCCGCGUGAAGGAAGAAGUAUCUCGGUAUGUAAACUUCUAUCAGCAGGGAAGACAAUGACGGUACCUGACUAAGAAGCCCCGGCUAACUACGUGCCAGCAGCCGCGGUAAUACGUAGGGGGCGAAGCGUUAUCCGGAUUUACUGGGUGUAAAGGGAGCGUAGACGGAUCUGCAAGUCUGGAGUGAAAGCCCGGGGCUCAACCCCGGGCAGCUGCUUUGGCAAUUUGGAUUAGGGUCUAGAGUGCCGGAGAGGUAAGCGGAAUUCCUAGUGUAGCGGUGAAAUGCGUAGAUAUUAGGAGGAACACCAGUGGCGAAGGCGGCUUACUGGACGGUAACUGACGUUGAGGCUCGAAAGCGUGGGGAGCAAACAGGAUUAGAUACC
rnacentral:rRNA from 1 species